CCAGGGACAGAAGAGGGCCCAGCCUCGGCUGUCAAAACCCCAGUGGCCCCGAGACCACUUGGGUUCACCUUGCCGGGCCUCAGUGUCCUCAUCUGUAACACAGGGAGAGUUGUGUACUUCAGAGUCUGACAUACGGUUAAUGGGCCUUGGUGGUGGGGGUAUUCGGCCCUGGCCACCCUCUCACCUGUCCCCAGGUCUCUGAAUGUGGACAUGGAGUGGCUGUAUGGGGCCAGUGAGAACAGCAAUAUGGAGGUGGACAUUGGCUAUAUCCCCCAGGUGAGCACACAAGUGGUCCCGACCCAGGGAAGGAGACAGGAUUCAGCUGCAGGGCUGGGUGUCUCAGGCGGUCCAGGGUGAAGGACAGAGCCCCUGGCAGGCCGAGGCCAACUGUCCCCGAAGUGGGAUUCUGGGAAACCACCAGACCCUGCACAGAAAACCCACCAGCUGUCUUCAGCCCCCAGGUGGCUUCACAUAGUAGAAGGAGCCCCUGAUGGACACUGGCUCUGUCCCAGACUCACUGCGGCCUUGACCAGGCCCUGCCCUUCCCAGAGCCUCAGUCUCUCCACCUUUGCAAUGAGUGGGAUAUCUUUGAGGGUCUCUUAAGGAUUCUUGCCCAUCUCUGAGACACCCUCACUGAUGUCAACCCCCACUGACCUCUGGGCCAGAUGGAACUGGAGGCCCUGGGCCCGUCGGUGCCUUCUGUGAUCCUGG
rnacentral:lncRNA from 1 species